UUUUCGAGUCUCUCUCUCGGGAUAGGCAUUUUUUUUCUCUUCCUUCUCGUUUUGCUUAUCUUCAUUGCAAACCAUCCAGAUCUCUUAAAAUUGAACAUAAUCAGUCAAAAAUUAAAGCUGUCUUAUGUGAAAUCAAACCGAAUUUGUGAGAUCUGUUGAACUAAAUCUGAUUUGUGAAAUGGGUUUUGAUAAGAUUGAGGUCAAAGCUAUUUUCUUUUAUCUCUUUUCAGAUGGGGGUUUAAAUUCAAACUGAUUUGUGAGAUCUCUUUAACUCAUCUCACAAAUCAAAACCCAUCUUUCAUAAAUCUUCGGAUUUCAUUUUAAAUUCUAGAAAUGAUUUUGUCCUUCAAAAACCCUAGCAAACUAUUUUCUCUAUUUUAACGAAUUUAGUUUUUGAGUUUAAUUACUUUAUAUCUUCACAUUUGAUUAUAUGGAUUUUAUGAUUUUGGUAUUUAUAAUUAGGAAGAAUCAUUUAAGUUUAGGAUUUAUAUGGUUCUUUUUCAUUUGCAUGUUCUUCUGGUUUUUUCUAAUAGAAUCUAAUCCUUAGAUAUGAGAUUUGUGGGGUUUGAGCUAAUCUGGUUAUUUCGUUUUUUCUUGUGGAUUCCUAUGUCGUAAGCCUGAUUUCUUGGUGGUGUAUAAUUAUUCUAAUACAGAUCCAGAAGUUGGAAAGUGAGAUCUAAUACAUAUCACUAAAAGUGGUUAAGCCUCAAUAGCUGAUGCUUCCGUUGUUGAUAUGCAACAGCCUAAGGUUGAUCCACAAAUGGAAGUGUUAGAUGGGGAUUCAAAAGGUUUAGUCAAGAUCAAGCCAUUCAUUGGGAAUCUCAAUGAACACCAUUUUUAUUCCUAGUAUGCUUGUCCAAGAUAUUAGUCAAAAGGUUUAGUCAAGAUAUUGACUGUAGUUGCCAUUAAUACCAACCAGCAGAAAGAACACUAUUUCCUACUAAGAGGUGUCAUUCUAAACCUGACUUUACUUUUCGGUGAGAGUCUUUCACGGAGGAAACAAGGGCACAAGUACUGGAGAGGGGAGAUGAGUUUUGGAGUCUUGACAAAGAUAGAUAUCAUGGAUAAGGGUAUUGACGUUUUUGAUUAUUCAAACUACAAAGUGGAAAGAGAUGUUCCAACUUCUGAAUAUGAUACAGGGCACAGAAACCCUCAAAUGUGGAGAUCGUGGAGGAAACAGAGAGAUUGCUGGGUUCAUCAUCAGAACUUCUCGGAAGUCUGAAAUGUGGACAUCUUCCAACAUCAGUUUAGAGCUCCAAAAUCUGAGUGGCAGAAACCAAAAGGAAAGAAAACAAAAAUGAAAACCAGUAGACCCUAGCCAUGCUUCUGCUAUCCAAUAAAGGUCCCAUGAACUUUAGAUAGACCCAAGAUGCGAAGUGCUGUAAUGGAAUCCACUUUUCACAAGUGUAUUAGCAAAUCAUUGUGAGUACCAAAGCUCCCUCUUUGUGGAUAUCUGGGCAGCAAGAGAGCUCAUGCCAAGCAUGCUUGGGAGUUCUGCAAAGUUGAUUCUGUACGAACUACCCAUUUUCUGUAUGGCUUUUCUUCUUGGACUCCUUCAAUUGUUUGUGUUCAACUUCCCCGCAGUCUGCAAUCAAAACUCCAUGAUCCAGCUCUGCACCAGUAUUACACAAGGUCAUGGAGAAGGUGUUUGCUUUGUUGCUCGCCGAGUUCUGGAAAUUGGGGGCGAAAAUCAUAUUCGCGAACUUCCUCGAACAUUAUUAUUGACACCAGAAAGAUCUAUUAUUCGCGGAGUUAUUGAAGAAUCCAUUUUGUAUAUGGAUAUAUACUUGAUCCGCCUUUUCAUUUAUGAAAACUGUGGCCCCUCAUGCACAAGUAUGUAUUUCUUACUUCUACGCUACUUUUAUUCAUUGGUUCCGUCCACAAUCUAUAUGUAUGAACUACUCUCUAAAAUUUGAAUAAAAUUGCCAGGAACUCCCAUAACAUCAUAUAAGCCUUGUAUUGUGCCAUCAUCAUAUACACUUCCUUGUUCUCUGUGUUUCAUCUUUGGUAAUUAGUUAGGGUUAUCUUAAUGUAUCUCAUGAGCUAUCUUUGGUGAAUCUUCAAGUUAAUUUGUUUUCUCUUCAUGUUAUAGCAGCAUGGUCAGUUGGUUGAAACUUGGGCAAGUCUUGUAGUGUGUUAACAUCAAACACACUCCUACUAUUUUCUUGUUGAUCUAAUCAUUAAAACUUGGACCAAGUACUGUGAAGAUAUUUGGAGCAACAAUCUAAUAACAAUAGCUUUAAUUAUAGCAAUUCUUUUAUGUUGCGGAAUGGAAUUUUAUCUGUGUUGCAACAAUACGUCAAAACUUCUUUUUUCGGCGUAUCAAUACGUAUUGUAUGGAUACGUGUAUCCAAUACGUCCAAUACGGCCAAUACCAACUGUAUAAUCCUUUUUUUCAGUUAAAAUACCAAAAGUUGGAUAAGAAGCAACAACUGUCCAUAUAUUUCUUUAGUACUAAUAAAAGUUAGAUAUUUAUCACCAGCUGUCAUCACCCCCUCCAGUCAAUACUUAUCCCAAACUUUCUCCUCCUCUUAAUCUCAACACUUAUCUGAUUACCUCUAACUCUCUCUGUUUUAUCUCCUCCAAAACCAGUAGAAUACCCAAACCCUAUUUAUCCCAGAUACUGAUAUACAACUAUGAGCAAGAAAAGAAAAGACGCAAAUCUCAACACCCCCUUUGGAAUUAUGUUGAAAAACAAGGAAAAAGUGACGAAGGUGGUGGAAACAAUAAAAUCCAGUGCACAAUAUGUAACUAUAUAUUCUUUGGUUCUUAUACUCGGGUGAAAGCCCAUCUUCUUCGUAUAGAAGGACAAGGUGUUAAGAUAUGUGAGGGCAUAGAUCCUGAUAGUUUUGAGGAAUUGAAGAAGUUAUCAGAAGAUGUAUGUAUUUUGUUAUUUUUCUAUCUCAUAUAUAAUAUAUAUAUAUUUUAAGACUACAGAUUAAUAUUGAGUAUUCCGUAUCGCCGUAUUACCAUUUUUUUGCUGGUGUAUCCUAGUAACGUAUUGGUAUCUUGUAUCGGAUACCGUAUCCGUAUCGUUGCAACACAGAAUUUUAUUGUGCAUACUGAAACUAAGUUGGUAAUGUUGUAAAAAGUUGGAAGGAUGAGUGAUUGUGUUAUCAGGUCAGGGUUAUACAUUAUUUGUAAUACUGGAAUUUCGGAAAUACAAUACCUAUUGUAAAUU